rnacentral:rRNA from 1 species
UACGGGGGGGGCAAGCGUUGUUCGGAUUCAUUGGGCGUAAAGGGUGUGUAGGUGGCUCCGUAAGUCGGGUGUGAAAUUUCGGAGCUUAACUCCGAAACUGCAUUCGAUACUGCGGUGCUUGAGGACUGGAGAGGAGACUGGAAUUCAUGGUGUAGCAGUGAAAUGCGUAGAGAUCAUGAGGAAGACCAGUGGCGAAGGCGGGUCUCUGGACAGUUCCUGACACUGAGACACGAAGGCCAGGGGAGCAAACGGG